GGUAUAUCUAUUUCACUUAGAAAGUUUGUUAUAUUAUUAUAUAAUAUAUAUAAUUGAAAUACGGUUAAAACUGAAAAAAACAACAACAACAACAGAAGUAUAAAGGACAGGAAGCUCAACUCGGAUGGAUUGUUAAUUAUCAUGAUUUUCACAUAUCAGAUAUUCUUUUCAUGGAGAGCUAAUUUAGAUGUUGAAAAUGACUUGUACUUAGGCGUGAUUGAAAGAUUUUAUAUGCAAACUGAUAUAGGAGUAAUUAUCUUCGUUGCAACCGGAUAUAAAGAUUUAAUCUUAUAUUUCAAAAAGUAUUUAAAUAAUACUAUUAUAUAUAUAUUUAAAGCGAUUUCAAUACUAUUACUUCUCUUUUGGCAAGGAAAAAAUUUUGACCUCUGCAACUUCUCUAAUACAUCAGUUGUUACUGAUUAUGCUAAACUAGUGAUGGAUACAAUACCUCACAAUUCAACAAUUUUUACUCACGGAGAUCUAUCCGCAACAACUAUCCCUUAUCUACAGUUAUGUGAAAAUUAUAGGCCUGAUUUAAAAAUUAUAGAUAUGGAACUGAUGACCUAUAACUGGAGCGUUCCGAGAUUGAAAAACACAAUCAAGUCUUUAGAAUUUCCUGCUGAACAAUGGCAUCUUAGAGACACAGAGACAACUUUUACAUUGAACAGAUUUUUGAAAGUGAACAUUUUUGAAAAAGAAACUACACCAGGUGUCUACGUUUGUAUCGGAGCCCAUCAGGAGGAGAUAUCCUAUCAAAAGUCUUUCUUUUUACUACCUAUUGGUGUAUGCCACCAAUUUUAUCCAAAAGACAAUGAUAUUUCUCUUGUCUCCUACAUUCAGAAAUAUGGAUAUCUAUACGAUUCGUGGCCAUAUUCGUACGAUUCAAAAUUCGAUCCUAAAUCAUGGGAGUAUAUAGCCAAUAGGAUAAUUUGGGAUGCAAAGUAUAAUAUCUUCUUUUAAUCUUUAUAUUUUCAUCUUUAUAUUUUUUUCUUUGUGAAGAAUUAACGCUGCUAUUUUCCUCUUCAACUUUGCAUCUACGUCAAAACAUAAUGAAAUGAAAGAGAAGGGCUACUAUUCAAGUUGGAAGGUAGAUAAUUCUGUUAAAAAUAGCCACUAUUCAAGUUGCUAUAUAAAAAUUCUGUCGAUAAGAGUAUUGUAUAUAUUUUUAGAUAUAUAACCAUCACAUAAAAAAAUACGAAAGGAAGCAACCUUUUCCAGUUUUCUGGAUGAAAAAUUACGCUUUAGCAAGCUUUUGGCUAUAUCGUCAAGGGCAUGUAGAGGUUGAUGGAAUAAAUCUAAUUUUAGAAUCAAUUCAAUAUUUCCAAUCCUAUUUAAACACUGAAGAAGGUAGAAGAGAUAAAGAAUUUUAUAAUAUUUCUAAUCUUGUCAAGAGUUUAAAAGCAAAUUUAUAAGUACUUAUAUAAAUUUAUUAUUAACUUAACAAUAAAUAGUAUUAAAAAAAGAUAAAUCUUUGUUAAUAAGAACAAAAUUAAACGAUAAUGAGGACAAAAAAG
rnacentral:misc_RNA from 1 species